UCCUCCUUCAGUUCCUGUACUCUUGAUGAUUUCUGCAUUGAUGAGACCAAUGUUUCCAUCCUGCAGUGCUUUCAACCAAGAAUAAAAACAACUCAAAAAGCAAUGAAGUGAUUCAGUCAACAAUAAUGAAACAUGGAAACAUUACUGUGUUCAGACAGAAUGGGAGGUCAGAUUUAGAGGCAGCACGA